ensembl:lncRNA
GAAUUGUCUUUGAAGCUGAGCUGUACAGAGUUUAGAUUAUAUCCUGAGGCUAUUGGGGAACCACUGGAUUUUUUUUUUCCAAAGCAUCGUAGUGAUGUAGAAAGUCAGAUUUAACAAACUGUAGGUUCAGUUUGUCUUUUUUUGUUUAGAUUGUCACCUGACCUAACAUCUUUUUUUCCUCCUUCUUCUCUCCAAAGCCUCUCAGUACAUAGUUGUAUAUUCUAGUUGUGGGUCCUUCUGGUUGUGCUAUGUGGGACACCACCUCAGCAUGGCCUGAUGAGCAGUGCCACUCUGCGCCCAGAUCGGAACUGGUGAAACCCCAGGCUGCUGAAGCGGAGCCCGCCAACUCAACCACUUGGCCACGGGGCCAGCCCCUGGUUCAGUCUGUCCUAUGUAAGCUGCUCUCAAUUACUACCUUUGAGCCUCAGGGACUUCCUGUGUCUCUGGAAGUGUUACGGUGGUUAAUUCUUUUAGAAAGAUCUGGAAAGGUUGCCUGGAGAAAACUGUUUUAACCAGGCUUUGAAACAAGGAUAGAGAUUUGACAGGCUGAUACAGGGAGGGGCAUUCCUUGUUGAAACAAAGAUCCAAGUGUUUUAGCAGUCCAUUAGGAGAAAUAACCCAUUUUCUUUUACUCUCCUGGGAAUUGAGUGGGAAAAAAAAAAAAAAAAAAAGUAACUGCCUUGAGGUUUUGAAACUAGUGUUGGACCCAGGAUUCUAAACCUAGUCUAACUCAAAGGAGCUCCUCACAUCCAGCCUAACAAAAUAAAGUGUGAGACCCCUGUUUGCUGUUUCCCAUCCCCUGUUCUUCCAAAGCACCUCAUCAUUCCUCCUUGACUCUUCUGUUGUCGAGAGUAAAUAGCCCGUUUUCAACUGCUGUUUCUGAAUUGGAGCUCAAGAUUACCCAGUAGGACUGAUUUCCAUUUUAUGAGCUUAACUGAAGUGUCUUAGUGGCCUAUGCUACUUGAGCUAUACCCUACUAAAUCAUGUACUGAUUUUUGGUUUUGUUUUUUGUCUCCCCUACCCCCAGUAAGUGUGCUAAAGUGACUAGACAUCAAUAUGAAUAAAAAUGAACCAUUUACCUCGCCAGACACAGAACAUGGACGAUAGGUCUAAAGGGCCUGACGCGGCCUGUCCAGCAUGCAUUGUACAUCUGCUUGAAACAGUUACUAUGACCCAAAGACAAGAAUGAUGCCUUUAAAGAUAGGGAUGUGGCUUCCCCACGUAUCAGCAUUUCUUUAAGGAUAAGCAUCUUUUCCUGGAAACUAAGGAUUGAUUACUGACCUGCUGAGCUCACCUUGUGACCACUGACCUGCUGACCACCGACCUGCUGUGCCAGCUAAGCAUCUUGGGACAAUUGUAAAAGGGACAUUCCUGUCAUAUGUGAGGUAUGCUCUUUGUUCCAAGACAGUGUAAAACUACUCUGUUCACCCCAGUUUUUGGUUCCUUUCCUUCCUCUGGGAAGGAAGGCCCCAAGCUAUGUGGUCCUCAGAUCUGGUUCAGAAUAAACUCACCCAAUUUUGAUUUAUAGAUUGGUUAUGGAUUAUCUGCAUCGACACAGAUAAAUGCAAUUCUUAACUGUAUGAUGAUGAAA